AUUGAACGCUGGCGGCAGGCCUAACACAUGCAAGUCGAGCGGGGUUUUCGGACCUAGCGGCGGACGGGUGAGUAAUGCGUAGGAAGCUACCCGACAGAGGGGGAUACCAGUUGGAAACGACUGUUAAUACCCGCAUAAUGUCUACGGACCAAAGUGUGGGACCUUCGGGCCACAUGCUAUCGGAUGCGCCUACGUGGGAUUAGCUAGUUGGUGAGGUAAUGGCUCACCAAGGCGACGAUCCCUAGCUGGUUUGAGAGGAUGAUCAGCCACACUGGAACUGAGACACGGUCCAGACUCCUACGGGAGGCAGCAGUGGGGAAUAUUGGACAAAUGGGCGGCAAGCCUGAUCCAGCCAUGCCGCGGUGUGUGAAGAAGGCCUCGGUUGUAAGUACGACUUUACGUAGACGAGGAGGAAGGAGUAGUGUG
rnacentral:rRNA from 1 species